AGUGGAAUUGCUGGAUCAUAUGGUAACUCUGUCUAACUUUUUGAGGAACUGCCAGACUGUUUUCCAAAAAAAUGGCACCAUUUUACAUUCUAGCUAGCUGU
rnacentral:pre_miRNA from 1 species